UGGGGAAUAUUGCACAAUGGGCGCAAGCCUGAUGCAGCCAUGCCGCGUGAGUGAAGAAGGCCCUAGGGUUGUAAAGCUCUUUCGUCGGUGAAGAUAAUGACGGUAGCCGAAGAAGAAGCCCCGGCUAACUCCGUGCCAGCAGCCGCGGUAAUACGGAGGGGGCUAGCGUUGUUCGGAAUUACUGGGCGUAAAGCGCGCGUAGGCGGAUCUUUAAGUCAGGGGUGAAAUCCCGGGGCUCAACCUCGGAACUGCCCUUGAUACUGGAGAUCUUGAGUCCGGAAGAGGUUAGUGGAAUUCCCAGUGUAGAGGUGAAAUUCGUAGAUAUUGGGAAGAACACCAGUGGCGAAGGCGGCUAACUGGUCCGGUACUGACGCUGAGGUGCGAAAGCGUGGGGAGCAAACAGGAUUAGAUACCCCCGUAGUCC
rnacentral:rRNA from 1 species